CGUCGGGACUUCUGUCGUGGGUGAGAUGGUGCCGAUGCCACGUAAUUCGGGGCAGCGAGCUUCAUCUCUCCUCGACAGAAGCCUCUAAUGCU
rnacentral:pre_miRNA from 1 species